AGGUAAAAUGGAGAUGGGCUUGCUCUGGGUUCCAAGAAAUGUAAUCCCAAUCCCUUCCAGAGCCGCGCCAGCGUCCCUUUGUGCGAGGGCGGGGGAGGGGAGCCAUGAGGGCAACGGCGAUCGACCUCCCGGAAGCGCUCCGCUCUCCAUCUCCUCCUUCCUCCCAUUUCAGCCCUGGGCGCCAUUACCACGUCGCCGUCGAUCGGCUCCAGUUCAAGAUGGUGGCUCUCUUGAGAUUCUUGUUCUGGGUUAUGGUAUUGACCAACUUGAGUGAAAGGGGUGGGGCGGUGGCGUCCGUCGCUGCCAGUGUGAUAUGCUGCAGAGCUGGACGCCGUCUGCGCGGUCUCCAACCUUACCUUUAUCUAGCUUUCGUCCCUGGCUUGAGCUUAAACAGGACAUGAUAUUAUUAGCUGCAUUUCCUGGCUAUUGGAUGUUGGAGUGUAUCAUUUUUGGUGUCAUCAAAUAUUCAGCAAUCACAAGGUUAGUGUAAAUGACUAAUCUCAACAAUGUAGUCAUUGUAACGCCUGAACCAGAAGAACAUGGUGCCAUUUUUGGACUUGUAACAAUCACCCAAAGGAUAUAGACCUGCUGAUGUCAAAGUACUUCUCCUAUAAGUUAAUCUUCAAAUCAUUAUCUGAAGAUCAUUGAAACCUGGAUUUAUUUCCUUGUUCCAUUCCAGAACCGUAACUAUCAAUCCUUAUCCUGACUAUUCAGGGCUGGCUUUAUGUGUUUCUUUGUCCCAAGAUUUCCUUUACAACUGGAAGAGGUAGAAAUUACUUGGUUUCCAUACUUUGUUGAAUCAAAUUCAAAUUUUGGUAACCAGCUUUAAUUAAAUAAUAUUGUAUGCCUUCUAUAAUUUUGUUAUUGAUGGCCUUAUCCUUCAGCUUGAAGCUGGAAUUUUGGUUUUUAUAUAUGUUGAAUCAAAGUCAAACUCUGGUAACCUGCUUUAAUUAAAUAAUAUUGUAUAUCUUCUAUAAUUUUGUUAUCCUGCUUUAAUUAAAUAAUUAUGUUACUGAUAGCCUUAUCUUUCAGCUUGAAGCUGGAAUUUUGCAAGUAAACUACCUUCGUUCAUCAUAUGUUAUAUACAUCUGAAUUUGCUCUAAAUUUUCCUAUUCUUUACUAUUUCUAUGUUUAACUAUUCUUUUAGCAUAUUGUUUACAAUUUUUCCAUUUUUGUUCAGUGCAAUGACCUAGCUGAAUCAGAAUAGGCACUGGUACUAGAGAAGUUCCAUCAGUUAACUGCAGAAUGGAGUCAAAGCAAUGAUGCUUGUUCAGGGGAUGAUCUUGAAUGGUGGAAAUGUAGUUGAUAAGUCAUGCACGAUAGUUGUAACCAGGGUAUGCCAUACCAGCCCAUACCGGCCGGUACGAACCGGUCCAGGCUGGGACCGGUACCGGAUCAGCGUGGGAUCCGUUACCUAGAGCUUUUCAUUGGAAAACUGGCUGGUAUGACUACCGUACUGGUACGGACCAGUACGGAAUCGGUACGUACCUGUCCGAUUCGCCACUGGUAUGCCGACCGGUACCGGUACGGCCGACCUCGGUUGUAACACAUGCUUGCCUGCCACUUGUUGCUUCAGGAGAGACACCUUUUUUACCUCAUAUUUUAAUAUACUAUGAAUUACCAACAAAGAAGAUGCAUCCAGAUACCCUGUUCUAACCGUAGUUUGAAAUUUCUCAUGGUUUAAUGUUAAAUCAAAUUCCAAUUGAUUAAGCCUAUUCUGAUGUAAUUGUGGAUACAUAUUUUGGCAAAAAAUUAAUUUUGUUUUGUGUUUUAUUUUCAUUUGCUUUGAUAAAUUAUUAGUUGUAAUUUUGUGACUUUAUGUGGCAGUUCUAAGUAAGGGAUACUAUAAACAGAGUAUUUUAGCAGUAGGUUCAAGGGAAGAAUAGGUUGGAAUAUUAAGUGUAUCUGAAGAUUGCUAAGAAAUCUCCAAGAAAUAUGGUAUAAAUAAGGUUGGCUGAAGCCAAGGUCAGGCACAACCUAGUGUUAUUAGUUUGGACGAAGCACUAAGAUCUGAUUCAUUCAAUCUGGUGGUACAUGAAAUAAUUGUUUUGUCACUAUAGAUGAUUUGAAUGGAGACACUCUCUACUUUUGUAAACCUGUAUGCAUUCGAAUAUUAUUUCCUUUUUCAUCACUCAUCUCCAAUAAAGAGUUGACAGAGAUUUAGGACUUCAAGCUCAUAUAUGUAGUUUUGGCUAUCUAGAAAAUUGUGAUUGUUAGUAUCAAUGUAAGUAUAUAUGAGGUGACCUGCUCAUGUAGAAUAUAUGUAUGAUGUAUCUAUACAAUCUAUAUCUGGUCGACCUCUAGUGAGGUAACAUGCUCAUCUGGAUGUCUAUCUUCUAAUCUUAUGAACUAGCUUUAUGCUAGCGAAAAUAACAUUUACUUUGAUGUUUCUUUUCAAAAUUUUAUGACAACAGAACCUCGAUUGUUGGUGCCUUCAUAAAACCUCAGAGGUGAUGUAGUAAUCUUUUACUCUUUUUUUUUUUGGCUAGAGUGGGCGAUUCAUACCUGACGAGUACGAAUGCACCCAAUAAAAUUAGAAAACAAAAUAUCUUGGUGUGCCCGAGGCAGCUCCCCAUUUCUAGCCCACAAGGAAACAUACUUCAGGCUUAUGUCAACUUGUUCAGUAGCAGGAUCAUGAUCGGCAUGGUUGUUGGAGGUGAAGUGGUGGCCCUGAAAGAACUUGAGGAGAGUAGUUGUGUUGUCAUUGCAGAGAUGCCCAUAAAUGAGUGUUUAACAUUAUAUCUAUACUGUUGAUCAUCUAUUGGUACAUGCAGCGGUUCAUGAUGCAGAUCUCCAAAAUCUUGUGAAGAUAUUAUUGUCCUCUGCAUCUAAAGAAGGAUACAUCGGUAGAGUACACUAGAACUGGACCUGUUGGCUGCAGCAUGGAAAGCCCCCAAGUUUAAACAUAUUUAGACAAUGAUAGUUUGAAUCAUUACGACUGGUAUUGUUGUUAGCUCUUGGGAAGAUAAAUUUUUUUUCUAUCUGAAUUUGAGUAUAUAUUUCAACGCCAACAAAAAUAUGUGGUUUCUCCUAGAUAUCCUGACAAUAAUUUUGCUUACUCAAAUGAUAUGUAAUAUAAUGAUUAAGAGUGAUUGGAUAAUUUUCACCUGAAUUUAUCAUAUAUUUUACAAGAAUAAUAAUAGUUUCUAUUUAUGUCAUUCCUAAUUUAGAUUAUGCUUCCUGGUGGAGAAAAAUAUUGAUAUUCCUGUCAAUCUCUUGCCAGAAGGCUGUGUUUUUAAGUUUUGAAAAAAAAACAUAAACUUAUCCAGAUUUAUGCUUCUUUUUCGGCUGCCUUACCUAAUAUUUCCUAUGGAAUCUAUGCAUGUCUGGAGAAUCAAGGUUUAAAUUUUGUGUGUCCGGUUGCUUUUGUAUGGUUCCUGCUGCUCUUUGAGGUGCAGAGGGACCCUUAGCUUGUAUCUCUAAUCAAUUUUUUUUCUGCUCUAGAUGUGCUUCAUAUCCAUCGAAACAGCAGAGGGCCAGAGAGGUUCACUGCACAUUGAAGAUGCCAAUGUCAGGAUUAGCUGGAAAGUGAUUGUGCCCUGUAGUAAAUGUGUUUCCAUUAAAACAUGGGCCCCUAGCUGAAUGGCUGCUUCCUCACCACCAUUUGCAAUCCUGGGACCAUACUGUUGUUGGUGGCCAUUAGCAGGUUCAUCCAAAGGUGAUUCAUGCAGAAUUGUUGCUUGUCGUCUUCCUUCUGAUUAGAAAUCUCUUCUGGAUUGGAUGAUAUAUAGGACGUUUGGGAGUUUGUAACCUAAUCAUUGGGGUGUUCUUAAAUUAUCUUUUUACCAGGUGGUUGGUUUGUAUAGGCAAGUGGUGGGAUCUUCUUCAUUUUUUCAUGAAGAAUUGGCUAAAUAAGGUGUUUUUUUUUUGUUUUUUUGUUCUUAUGUCUGGUUUGUUUUUAACACAAAUCAUAGUGGAUAAGGUGCUAUGGAUUCAAGAGGAACAUUGAUUGUUAAAUAUGUCUACUGUAAGAUGAUAAGAGAUGAUUGGAAUUUGAAUAUGGAAUG